UAAGGAAUAUUGGUCAAUGGACGCAAGUCUGAACCAGCCAUGCCGCGUGGAGGAUUAAGGCCCUCUGGGUUGUAAACUCCUUUUAUCUGGGAAGAAAUGUUUCGAUUCUUCGGAACUUGACGGUACCAGAGGAAUAAGCACCGGCUAACUCCGUGCCAGCAGCCGCGGUAAUACGGAGGGUGCAAGCGUUAUCCGGAUUCACUGGGUUUAAAGGGUGCGUAGGCGGGCAGGUAAGUCAGUGGUGAAAUCUCCGAGCUUAACUCGGAAACUGCCGUUGAUACUAUUUGUCUUGAAUAUUGUGGAGGUAAGCGGAAUAUGUCAUGUAGCGGUGAAAUGCUUAGAUAUGACAUAGAACACCAAUUGCGAAGGCAGCUUACUACACAACGAUUGACGCUGAGGCACGAAAGCGUGGGGAUCAAACAGG
rnacentral:rRNA from 1 species